UUGACCUCAAAUCAGGUAGGACUACCCGCUGAACUUAAGCAUAUCAAUAAGCGGAGGAAAAGAAACUAACAAGGAUUCCCCUAGUAACUGCGAGUGAAGAGGGAAAAGCUCAAAUUUAAAAUCUGGCAGUCUCCGAUUGUCCGAGUUGUAAUUUAGAGAAGUGUUACCCGUGUUGGGCCGUGUAUAAGUCUCCUGGAAUGGAGCGUCAUAGAGGGUGAGAAUCCCGUCUUUGACACGGACUUCCAAUGCAUUGUGGUACGCUCUCAAAGAGUCGAGUUGUUUGGGAAUGCAGCUCUAAAUGGGUGGUAAAUUCCAUCUAAAGCUAAAUAUUGGGGAGAGACCGAUAGCGAACAAGUACCGUGAGGGAAAGAUGAAAAGAACUUUGGAAAGAGAGUUAAACAGUACGUGAAAUUGCUAAAAGGGAAACGCUUGAAGUCAGUCGCGU
rnacentral:rRNA from 1 species